rnacentral:rRNA from 1 species
GACGAACGCUGGCGGCGUGCUUAACACAUGCAAGUCGAACGGAAAGGCCCUGCUUUUGUGGGGUGCUCGAGUGGCGAACGGGUGAGUAACACGUGAGUAACCUGCCCUUGACUUUGGGAUAACUUCAGGAAACUGGGGCUAUUACCGGAUAGGAGCUCCUGCUGCAUGGUGGGGGUGGGAAAGUUUCGGCGGUUGGGGAUGGACUCGCGGCUUAUCAGCUUGUUGGUGGGGUAGUGGCUUACCAAGGCUUUGACGGGUAGCCGGCCUGAGAGGGGGACCGGCCACAUUGGGACUGAGAUACGGCCCAGACUCCAACGGGAGGCAGCAGUGGGGAAUAUUGCACAAUGGGCGGAAGCCUGAUGCAGCAACGCCGCGUGCGGGAUGACGGCCUUCGGGUUGUAAACCGCUUUCGCCUGUGACGAAGCGUGAGUGACGGUAAUGGGUAAAGAAGCACCGGCUAACUACGUG